AUUUUCUUUGCCACUCAGCCUGCAAUUUAACUCAUGAAGCAUCCAAGUAAGGCAUUAAGAGACACCUCCACACCUCUUCAGUUUCACAGAUUGACCUAUCCAGGACCAUCCUGAGAAACAGAGUUGUUGAGGGAAGCUUUCAAAAACACGAAGAGCAACCCUAGAAAAUAUUGAAUGAAUGAACAAAAGGUAAACCACUUUACCUCCCCCAACACCGGAUCAGGACAACCACGCUCAGGUUUUUUUCCUGAUUUGAGUGCAGAGGAAUAAAUCUGACUGUGAGCAUCAAGUAUGAACGCAAGUUCACUCUGUGCUCAUUUAC